rnacentral:rRNA from 1 species
UCGUGAAUUUUUCACAAUGGGCGCAAGCCUGAUGGAGCGACGCCGCGUGGGGGAUGAAUGGCUUCGGCUCGUAAACCCCUGUCAUUUGCGAUCAACCGUUAUUAUUUAAAAGAUGAUAACCUGAUAGUAGCGAAAGAGGAAGGGACGGCUAACUCUGUGCCAGCAGCCGCGGUAAUACAGAGGUCCCAAGCGUUGUUCGGAUUUUCUGGGCGUUAAGGGUGCGUAGGUGGCGGUGUAAGUCGGAUGUGAAAUCUCCGAGCUCAACUCGGAAGCUGCAUUGGAAACUACAUUGCUCGAGGGUUGGAGGGGGGACUGGAAUACUUGGUGUAGCAGUGAAAUGCGUAGAUAUAAAGUGGAACACCAGUGGCGAAGGCGAGUCCCUGGACAACUGCUGACACUGAAGCACGAAAGCUAGGGGAGCAAACAG